rnacentral:tRNA from 1 species
GAGUGUUAGCUCAGUUGGGAGAGCAUCUGCCUUACAAGCAGGAGGUCAGGGGUUCGAGCCCCUUACACUCC